CCCUUCCUCCCUUACUGGUUGCAUUUCUUCCCUUCCUUCCCCUGCAUACACAGGAAGGUUGUUUUUCAGUUGAUCUGUUUAUUAGUAUUCAUAUUCCUGCCUCUGCUACUAGUUCCUUUAGCAAAAUACGGAAGAUGCCUAUUCCAGAGGUAUUUUGAGCUUACCACACCUCAACUCUGAGAAGACAAAGGUCAUGUUCAUCUUGCCGUACUGUUGGCAUCUUCAGCAUCUGGCAGCUAAUAGGCUGAGCAGUUGAUUCCGCGAGUGAGAUUCUCCAAAACUUCACUUUUUCCUUUGGCAAGGUGAUGGCGAUGUUUGAACGGUGUUGAUCCCAACAGCCUGUGUCCUUGAACAGCUGCUGCUUCAUAAAGCCAGUUUCCCAUAGGGAGUAGGAGGUCUCUGCUCCUUCAAGAUAUAGCCUGGGCAACUCUCUACACCUGUAGAAGAUUGCCUCUGACUCAGUGGAAGGAGAAACUGAAGCCCAGAGAUGUUAAGAGAAGAAAUGAUUUACUCAAACUUCAG